AGACCCGGAUCUAAUCUUGCUGCCAGAUCGCUUCUGGUGCGGACACCGGCCGUUUGAUAAAUUUUGCUACAUUUUUUUAAAUUAAUAAUUUACAAUUUUAUUUAUAUAUUUUUUUUAUUUCGCCAAUCCUGAAGUUUUGUUCCUCGUGUCCGCCUGGUGGUAAAAUAUUGCCUCGUGAAGGGAAAAGUUCUUCUGUUCUUCACAAGCUAAUGUAGAUGUCGGUUGGAAUCGACACUUCCUUGACGAGCUGGCGGCUCUUCAUCACAUACUGCCCAACAUCCUGCUCAGAGGUGCCACACAUUCUGUCAUCGUAGCGCUCUCCUUCUGCACAACAGCUGUGAUAGGUCAGCCCGGCACUUCACAAUCAGUCAAAACCAAUGGUAAAGCCAAUAAAGAGGUCUCAAAGCCACUUAUUCUGGAGAAUCGGUGCGCUGCCUUCCAGUACCGGGGCAACCAAAAUUCAGCGGAAAGUCUGCACCACCGAGCAUCAAAGCUUGCAAUGCCUGCAUCCUCGCCGGUCAGCAGCAAGGCUCGGGUGUACACGGGUGUCAACACGUGGAAGAACAGAGAUUAUUGGGAUUAUGACACGCAUGUGGCAAACUGGAGCAAUCAAGACAACUACCAAUUGCUGCGCAAAUUAGGUAGAGGGAAGUACAGUGAAGUUUUUGAAGCCGUUAAUGUGACCAGCAGUGAAAAAGUAGUGGUAAAAAUCCUCAAGCCUGUCAAGUGGAAGAAGAUCAAACGGGAAAUUAAGAUACUUGAAAAUCUGCGUGGGGGAACCAACAUCAUCCGCCUGAUUGACACAGUUAAAGACCCAGUGUCCAGAACACCAGCACUCGUCUUUGAAUGCAUCAACAAUACACAUUUUAAGGAGCUUUACCACAAGCUGACGGACUAUGAUAUUCGUUACUAUGUGUAUGAGCUUCUCAAGGCUCUAGACUACUGUCACAGUAUGGGCAUCAUGCACAGAGACGUAAAGCCUCACAAUGUGAUGAUCGACCACCAGCUGAGAAAGUUGCGUCUUAUAGAUUGGGGCUUGGCAGAAUUUUACCAUCCUGCUCAGGAAUACAACGUCAGGGUGGCCUCCCGCUAUUUCAAAAGCCCAGAGCUGCUUGUGGAUUACAAGAUGUAUGACUAUAGUUUGGAUAUGUGGAGUCUUGGGUGUAUGUUGGCCAGCAUGAUCUUUCUGAAGGAGCCAUUUUUUCAUGGCCAGGACAACUAUGAUCAGUUGGUUCGCAUUGCUAAGGUUCUUGGCACUGACGAGCUUUUCAGCUACCUGCACAAGUACCACAUAGAACUGAACACUCACUUCAAAGAUCUGCUGGGACGGCAAACACAGAAGCAUUGGGAGCAGUUCGUCCAGACAGAGAACCAACACCUCGUGAGCCCUGAGGCUCUGGACCUGCUGGACAAACUCCUGCGCUAUGACCACCAGCAAAGACUAACAGCAUUGGAGGCCAUGAAGCACCCAUAUUUCUGUUAGUGGUAACUUGGAGAGGUCAAUUAGAUGAUGUGAUCCUGUGGUGAAACUGUCCAAUACUAAUGUGAAUACAGUCAGCACAAAGGCAGUAGGCACCUCCAUUGCAUCGUGAUAGACAGCAGACAGGUGCCAUUGACCUGAAAAUUUCACCAGAUGUUGGGAACAACCCAAGUAAUUCAUAUAUACAGAGAGGCUGGGAGAGGCCACCUCAUCCACACGCAGCAUCAGCACCGGGGCCCCCCAAGGUUGUGUCCUCUCUCUGCUGCUUUUCUCUCUCUACACAAACGACUGCACCUCAACGCCCCCGGCUGUCAAACUCCUGAAGUUUGCAGAUGACACCACAGUCAUCGAUCUCAUCAAAGACGGUGACGAGUCUGCGUAUCGACAGGAAGUGGACUGGUUGGAGUUGUGGUGCGGCCGACACAACCUGGAGCUGAACACGUUCAAGACUGUAGAGAUAAUCGUGGACUUAAGGAGGCAUCCUUCGCCACAGCUGCCCCUCACGCUGUCCAGCUGCCUUGUGUCGACCGUCGAGACCUUCACGUUCCUGGGAAUUAAAGUCUCUCAGGACCUGAAAUGGGAGAUCAACAGCAACUCCGUCCUCAAAAAGGCCCAGCAGAGGAUGUACUUCCUGCGGCUUCUGAGAAAGCACGGUCUGCCACCGGAGCUGUUGAGGCAGUUCUACACAGCGGUCAUCGAAUCAGUACUGUGUUCUUCCAUCACAGUCUGGUUUGGUGCUGCUACAAAAAAGGACAAACACCGACUGCAACGGACAAUCAAAACUGCUGAAAGGAUUGUCGGUACCCUCCUACCCACCCUUGAGGACUUGCACGCUGCCAGAACUAAGACAAGAGCGUGCAAAAUCCUCUCGGACCCUCCACAUCCCGGUCACCAGCUCUUCCAACUCCUUCCCUCAGGAAGAACGUGAUCUCUGCCUCCAUGUCACCAGCCAUACUGGAGCAAGCACUCACUGCAACUCCAGAUCCAUGGAACGUUUGCUGCUUGGAUUUGCAUUAUUCGAGGCCAAGCCUUCAUGUCUCCAACUCCAACCUGUUGUACAGUUUGAGCAAAAGACUGUUCGAUUAGGAUGUAGCCAGUAUUGUGCAGUAAGGCUUUGCUUGUCAUCUGCUGUGACCAGAGAUCUAGUUCCAAUAUUAGCCCUGAGUGGUAUAAAAGCUCUUUUUGUGAUGAAGAGAAUAUAUUGAAAGAGAAUAAAGCCUUUUUGGUAAACAUU